rnacentral:lncRNA from 1 species
GGAGGAGGCAGUGUCUAACCCCUUCCCUUUCUCUCUCCAGUUUUAUGAGACCCCACUUCAGUCCCUCUGUGGUGAGUGCGAUCCUCCAUAGAACAACAGAGGCAGUUCUGGGGAGCGCAGAGGAGGACAAAGAGGAACUGAAGAGGCCAUUCCAGAGCCAGCUGGGGGGUCUCCUCCUAGAAGCCCCCAAUACUAGCACCCUUCUCCAGUUGCUUACCGACCUCCGAUAUUACGCCCUUUUGGGGAGUGAAGACCAAAGGAAAUUAGCGGCCAGCAGUAUAUCCCUGCUGCUGGCCCUUUCACGAAGAUUCCCGAACCUCAGAAACACAGUAAUUCGGC